CGCUCGCCCUCUCUCCCUCCCUCCCUCCCCGUCCCCCUCCCUCCCUUCCCGGCCUGAUUGGCGCCCGGCCGCUUCCUGCCUGGGCGUUAAGGUGGAUUUUCCCGGCGCUCCGGGGGCAGCUCCCGAGCCUUUCCUCCUUCAGCGGGAGGAGCCGGCCGCGAGCGCCUCAGCAUCCCUCGGGCGCCUGUUUUCCUCCGGGAAUUGCGGCUCCUGCUUCCAGCGGCUCUCCCAGGAGCAGCUUGGGGGGGAAAGUGUGGACAGGGAAGAAAGGGGAGCAGAGGACACAGCAGUGUUUACUUGCAUUAUGGUUGUUGUCCCUGUGGACAAAGCAGAGCCCCAGAGAGGAAUAAAGUGAUGGAUAAACAGGGCAGAUGAAGUUGGGAUCGCUCAUGGUUUGAGGUUCCUUCAGUUCUACAGCAAAUGCCUCUGUUCAACCACUGUCUCCUCUGCCAUCCCCAUGGUUAUAAGUAUUUAUGUUCUUGCAGACAUGCUGCAAUGCAGGCAGAAGGUUCUUACAUACCAUAUCCCACUGUAUUUUCCAGCAGUUUAUCUCCUGAGCCAGGCUUUUUUUCCCCUCUCCCUUUUUUUCCCUCAUUAAAUUCUUGUGAAAAUCAGCCUA